GUCUACCAAGCCUUCUUUGUCUUGGUGGAUCGUGGGUUCCUGUGUUUCCUACCUAAGCAAUGGUAUUGUCCUGGUUGAUCCUAGUCCCUUUUCUUCUAGUGUCAUACCCAUGACACUUGAUGAACCAYGAAGCGGUUUCUUUGAUCCAUCUUGUCAACYAGUGUGUUGAUUUUGUGGCUCAUUGACUAUCGCUUGGUCUCUUGGAUACAGAACAUGAUUUGAGCAUAUGGGUUCUCAUGGGUUCCUUGUUUUGCAUUCAUUCAGCUUAUGUGCUUCUCUUACAAUGACUGCCUCGCCCGCCUAGGCUCGUACCUGCGUGGGAGGCAAUGUCAAAGGGAAAUGCUCUUCCUGUUUGAUGUGGGCAUGGUGUCUUAUGUGUUCCUUUUUUUGCUCUCAUUAAGCGUUCGCGCUUCUCUUCAAAUGACGGCCUYGCUCUGCUAGGCUUGUACYAGCRUGGGAGGCCAUGUCAAAGAGGAAUGC
rnacentral:misc_RNA from 1 species